AUUGAACGCUGGCGGCGUGCCUAACACAUGCAAGUCGCACGCGAAAGGGGGCAACCCCAAGUAGAGUGGCGGACGGGUGAGUAACGCGUAGGAAUCUACCUAGUAGUGGGGGACAACCCGGCGAAAGCCGGGCUAAUACCGCAUACGACCUAAGGGUGAAAGCAGGGGAUCGCAAGACCUUGCGCUAUUAGAUGAGCCUGCGUCCGAUUAGCUAGUUGGUGAGGUAACGGCUCACCAAGGCGACGAUCGGUAACUGGUUUGACAGAACGACCAGUCACACUGGGACUGAGGCACGGCCCAGACUCCUACGGGAGGCAGCAGUGGGGAAUCUUGGACAAUGGGGGCAACCCUGAUCCAGCGACGCCGCGUGUGUGAAGAAGGCCUUCGGGUUGUAAAGCACUUUCGGCAGGGACAAACAAGACGGUGCUAACAUCUCCGUUCCUGAUGGUACCUGAAGAAGAAGCACCGGCUAACUCUGUGCCAGCCGCCGCAGUAAAAC
rnacentral:rRNA from 1 species